GGAAAAUUGCCUUCUUUCAAAGUGGUGGGAUGUUCCUGUUCCUGAAAGAAGAUAGUGGGAGUGAGUUACGGCCAGACUUUUAGCGAGCUACUGAAGAAGGCAGAGCUUGUGGUCUAGUAGGCUUCCUGGCUCUGAGAAGACAACUGCAUUUAUUUCUUUCCACCUUUGUUUGGUGAUGUCAUCAUGUAGACAACUUCUCAUGAAAGAAAGAUGUCAGAACUACAAAUCAAAAAUCACUUGUCCUCUUUUGCUGGAGAGCUCACUGCAAAACAUUUGAAAGAUGCACUUAGCAAGUAUUCAUGGGACAUGAUGACCUUAAAGACAUUACAAGAUACUCCAUACCUCAGAUCCUUUACUGGAAGCCAGGCUGGUCCUAUGGACCCCAGGUAAGACAUGACCUGCCACAUGCUAACACUUUUUAAAGCCCAACCAAUAACCCUAGACUCAACACCCUCCUCUGGGCUCCAUAUUCCAGCCUACAAUGCCAGCAGAAGACAUCUGCUGAUGCCAGGUCAAUUCUAGGGACCCAUGGGAAAACAUUGCCCAGAGCCAGCGAACACUCUCUAAACUAGAACAACAGCUCCCAAAUCUACCCCCACCCAGAGUUCCAUAUUCAAGCACACAACAUCAGCAGAAGACUUUGCUAUACUGGAGGACAUGUUGUACUAGGAAUCCCAGAGACCAAGCAGGUAUCCAGAACCCCAGAGGCCACACAGAUACAAGGAACUGCAGAGACAACGCUGUUACCCCAAAU
rnacentral:lncRNA from 1 species